UACUCUAUUACUGUGCAAACUAUAUGGAAACACCAAAUGUAGCACAUAUAAAGUAUUUGUUAAAAUGAUUAUUAAACGAUUUCACUUGGUAAUUUCUACAUUAUUUUACUAUAGUAAACUUAAUUAUAAAAUACUGCUUACAUACUAUUUUACUGUGCAAACUAUAUGGAAACACCAAAUGUAGCACAUAGAAAGUAUUUGUUGAAAUGAUUAUAAAACGAUUUCACUUGGUAAUUUCUACAUUAUUUUACUAUAGUAAACUUAAUUAUAAAAUACUGCUUACAUACUAUUUUACUGUGCAAACUAUAUGGAAACACCAAAUGUAGCACAAAGAAAGUAUUAAUUGAAAUGAAUGUUAGUUCUACAUUAUUUUACUAUGGUAAACUUUAUUAUGAAAGACUGUGCUAUGUUUUUACUUACUAGGUUUUAAGGAGAAUGCAACAUGUUCCAGGGCCUCUUACCUGCGUGAUUCAUCAUCCAGGUUUUGCACAAAUUGUCUAAAUCCCUACACACAGAACAUUUAUUGUACCGACUAUAAGCCUUUGAGGUGCAGGACUAGAAUACGCUUGGAGCUUCCUGAUCAGAUCGGUCACAAUUUUGGCUUUCGACGACCCCUGCACUGAAGAUGGCAUGCAAUCACGUCCUCCUUUGAAGGUCUCUCAAACUGUGAUGCCAGGUCCAUUGGAAUCGGGGUUUCCUUCAGCUUAUCUUCAAAUACCUCAUCAAACACAAGCCUGAUCACAUCAUCCACAUAACUGUAGAAAUAUUGCAGUCAAUAAAUCUUUUGUUUUGAUAAUUUAUUUCCCUGCUUCAUACAUUAAGUUUUUAAUUAUGAAUGUAUUUGAAAUAAAACAUUACUGCUUA